ensembl:lncRNA
GUCUACUUUAUGUAACCUGUAUAGUCUACUUUAUGUAACCUGUAUAGUCUACUUUAUGUAACCUGUAUAGUCUACUUUAUGUAACCUGUAUAUUCUACUUUAUGUAACCUGUAUAGUCUACUUUAUGUAACCUGUAUAAUCUAAUCUAUGUAACCUGUAUAGUCUACUUUAUGUAACCUGUAUAGUCUACUUUAUGUAACCUGUAUAGUCUACUUUAUGUGACCUCUAUAGUCUACUUUAUGUAACCUGUAUAGUCUACUUUAUGUAACCUGUAUAGUCUACUUUAUGUAACCUGUAUAAUCUAAUCUAUGUAACCUGUAUAGUCUACUUUAUGUAGCCUGUAUAGUCUACUUUAUGUGACCUCUAUAGUCUACUUUAUGUGACCUGUAUAGUCUACUUUAUGUAACCUGUAUAAUCUAAUCUAUGUAACCUGUAUAGUCUACUUUAUGUAACCUGUAUAGUCUACUCUAUGUAACCUGUAUAGUCUACUCUAUGUAACCUGUAUAGUCUACUUUAUGUAACCUGUACAGUCUACUCUAUGUAACCUGUAUAGUCUACUUUAUGUAGCCUGUAUAGUCUACUUUAUGUGACCUCUAUAGUCUACUCUAUGUAACCUGUAUAGUCUACUUUAUGUAACCUGUAUAGUCUACUUUAUGUAACCUGUAUAGUCUACUUUAUGUAACCUGUAUAGUCUACUUUAUGUAACCUGUAUAGUCUACUUUAUGUAACCUGUAUAGUCUACUUUAUGUAACCUGUACAGUCUACUUUAUGUAACCUGUAUAAUCUAAUCUAUGUAACCUGUACAGUCUACUUUAUGUGACCUCUAUAGUCUACUUUAUGUAACCUGUAUAGUCUACUUUAUGUAACCUGUAUAAUCUAAUCUAUGUAGCCUGUAUAGUCUAUUUUAUGUAACCUGUACAGUCUACUUUAUGUGACCUCUAUAGUCUACUUUAUGUAACCUGUAUAGUCUACUCUAUGUAACCUGUAUAGUCUACUUUAUGUAGCCUGCAUAGUCUACUUUAUGUAACCUGUAUAGUCUACUCUAUGUAACCUGUAUAGUCUACUUUAUGUAGCCUGUACAGUCUACUCUAUGUAACCUGUAUAGUCUACUUUAUGUAGCCUGUAUAGUCUACUUUAUGUAACCUGUAUAGUCUACUUUAUGUGACCUCUAUAGUCUACUUUAUUUAACCUGUAUAGUCUACUUUAUGUGACCUCUAUAGUCUACUCUAUGUAACCUGUAUAGUCUACUUUAUGUAACCUGUAUAGUCUAUUUUAUGUAACCUGUACAGUCUACUCUAUGUAACCUGUAUAGUCUACUUUAUGUAGCCUGUAUAGUCUACUUUAUGUAACCUGUAUAGUCUACUCUAUGUAACCUGUAUAGUCUACUUUAUGUAGCCUGUAUAGUCUACUUUAUGUGACCUCUAUAGUCUACUUUAUGUGACCUCUAUAGUCUACUUUAUGUAACCUGUAUAGUCUACUUUAUGUAACCUGUAUAGUCUACUUUAUGUAGCCUGUAUAGUCUACUUUAUGUGACCUCUAUAGUCUACUUCAUGUGACCUCUAUAGUCUACUUUAUUUAACCUGUAUAGUCUACUUUAUGUGACCUGUCUAGUCUACUCUAUGUAGCCUGUAUAGUCUACUUUAUGUAACCUGUACAGUCUACUUUAUGUAACCUGUAUAGUCUACUUUAUGUAACCUGUAUAGUCUACUUUAUGUAACCUGUAUAGUCUACUCUAUGUAACCUGUAUAGUCUACUUUAUGUAGCCUGUAUAGUCUACUUUAUGUAACCUGUCUAGUCUACUCUAUGUAACCUGUAUAGUCUACUUUAUGUAACCUGUAUAGUCUACUCUAUGUAACCUGUAUAGUCUACUUUAUGUAACCUGUAUAGUCUACUUUAUGUAGCCUGUAUAGUCUACUCUAUGUAACCUGUAUAGUCUACUCUAUGUAACCUGUAUAGUCUACUUUAUGUAGCCUGUAUAGUCUACUUUAUGUGACCUCUAUAGUCUACUUUAUGUGACCUCUAUAGUCUACUUUAUGUAACCUGU